UGAGGAAUAUUGCACAAUGGGCGCAAGCCUGAUGCAGCGACGCCGCGUGUGGGAUGAAGGGGCUACGCCUCGUAAACCACUGUAGCCCGGGACGAAAAACGCCUUAGAGGCGUUAGACGGUACCGGGAAAGUAAGGGUCGGCUAACUACGUGCCAGCAGCCGCGGUAAUACGUAGGACCCAAGCGUUGUCCGGAUUUACUGGGUGUAAAGGGUGCGCAGGCGGAUUUGUAAGUCAGAGAUGAAAUCUUACAGCUUAACUGUGAAACUGCCUUUGAUACUGCAAGCCUAGAGUAUGGAAGAGAGUGAUGGAAUAUCUGGUGUAGCAGUGAAAUGCGUAGAUAUCAGAUAGAACACCAAUGGCGAAGGCAGUCACUUGGUCCAUUACUGACGCUAAAGCACGAAAGCGUGGGUAGCAAACA
rnacentral:rRNA from 1 species